rnacentral:rRNA from 1 species
UGGGGAAUUUUGGACAAUGGGGGAAACCCUGAUCCAGCCAUCCCGCGUGUGCGAUGAAGGCCUUCGGGUUGUAAAGCACUUUUUGCAGGAAAGAAACGUCAUGGGUUAAUACCCCGUGAAACUGACGGUACCUGCAGAAUAAGCACCGGCUAACUACGUGCCAGCAGCCGCGGUAAUACGUAGGGUGCAAGCGUUAAUCGGAAUUACUGGGCGUAAAGCGUGCGCAGGCGGUUCGGAAAGAAAGAUGUGAAAUCCCAGGGCUCAACUUUGGAACUGCAUUUUGAACUACCGGGCUAGAGUGUGUCAGAGGGAGGUGGAAUUCCGCGUGUAGCAGUGAAAUGCGUAGAUAUGCGGAGGAACACCGAUGGCGAAGGCAGCCUCCUGGGAUAACACUGACGCUCAUGCACGAAAGCGUGGGGAGCAAACAGG